AUUGAACGCUGGCGGCAUGCCUUACACAUGCAAGUCGAACGGCAGCGCGGGGCAACCUGGCGGCGAGUGGCGAACGGGUGAGUAAUAUAUCGGAACGUACCCUGGAGUGGGGGAUAACGUAGCGAAAGUUACGCUAAUACCGCAUACGAUCUAAGGAUGAAAGCAGGGGACCGCAAGGCCUUGUGCUCCUGGAGCGGCCGAUAUCUGAUUAGCUAGUUGGUGGGGUAAAGGCCUACCAAGGCAUCGAUCAGUAGCUGGUCUGAGAGGACGACCAGCCACACUGGAACUGAGACACGGUCCAGACUCCUACGGGAGGCAGCAGUGGGGAAUUUUGGACAAUGGGCGAAAGCCUGAUCCAGCAAUGCCGCGUGAGUGAAGAAGGCCUUCGGGUUGUAAAGCUCUUUUGUCAGGGAAGAAACGGUGAGGGCUAAUAUCCCUUGCUAAUGACGGUACCUGAAGAAUAAGCACCGGCUAACUACGUGC
rnacentral:rRNA from 1 species